GGGCUAUCAGCUUGUUGGUGGGGUAACGGCCUACCAAGGCGACGACGGCUAGCUGGUCUGAGAGGACGACCAGCCACACUGGGACUGAGACACGGCCCAGACUCCUACGGGAGGCAGCAGUGGGGAAUCUUGCGCAAUGGGCGAAAGCCUGACGCAGCAACGCCGCGUGGGGGAUGAAGGCCUUCGGGUUGUAAACCCCUUUCAGCAGGGACGAAUCUGACGGUACCUGCAGAAGAAGCCCCGGCCAACUACGUGCCAGCAGCCGCGGUAAUACGUAGGGGGCGAGCGUUGUCCGGAUUCAUUGGGCGUAAAGAGCUCGUAGGCGGCUUGGCAAGUCAGGUGUGAAAUCUCUGGGCUCAACUCAGAGAGGCCACCUGAUACUGCUAUGGCUAGAGUCCGGUAGGGGACCAUGGAAUUCCUGGUGUAGCGGUGAAAUGCGCAGAUAUCAGGAGGAACACCAGUGGCGAAGGCGGUGGUCUGG
rnacentral:rRNA from 1 species